UUGUUUAAAAAUAUAUUUUGUAAUUUUCUUAAUAUCUAACUAUCAUUACAUGUUUUGAAUCUGUAAAAACCGUACUAUGAUUUAUAUUGUAUAGUUUAAUAUUAUAUAAUAUGAUUUAAUAUUGCAUAAUAUUGCAUACAUUUUUAUAUUUUGAUAUUUGCGUUUAGGGUUUAGUGAUUAUAGUUUAGGGUUUACUAAUUAGAAGGUGAGGGGUUAUGGUUGGAGUCAUUAUUAACUUCUUUCAUGCAAUCAUAGAUAUUUCAUAAUUUCACCAGUAUGUACUAUUCUAUUUAUUUUGUUCCAUUCUAUUUGGGUUUAGGGUUUAUAUUUGGAUUUAUGGUUUAUAUUUGGGUUUAGGUUCGCUGAUUAGAGUUUAGGGUUUAGUAUUUUAGGGGAUGGGGUAGGGUUGGGAUAAAGUUUAGGGUUCACUGAUUAGAGUUGAGGAUUUAGUAUUGGAACUACAUUUUCUCUAUUUCUAUUCUAUAUGACUCAUGUAGAAUGGUAAUGUAUUUUACUGGCAUUUUAAAAUUUGAGUUUAGUUUAUGGAAAAUUGGGGUUAAACACUGGUUAAGGUUUAGAUUUUGAUAUUUGGGUUAACGUUUAGUGAUUAGAGUAUAGGGUUUAGGGUUUAUUAUUUAGAAGGUGAGGAGGUAUGGUUGGGAUCAAUAUUAACCUCUUCCAUAAAAUCAUAGACAUUUCAUAUUUUCACCAAUAUGUACUAUGUUAUUUAUUUUGUUUCAUUCUAUUUGGGUUUAGGGUUUAUGUUUUAGUUUAGGGUUUAUAUUUACGUAAGGGUUUAGUAAUUCGGGUUUAGGGUUUAGCAUUUAGAAGGUGACGGGGUAUGUUUGAGGUUAACAUUAAUUUCUUCAAUGCAAUUAUAGACAUUUCAUAAUUUCUUCAAUAUGUAUUAUGUUAUUUAGUUUUUUCUAUUUUAUUUGGAUUUUGGUUUAAAAUUUAGAUUUAUUAUUUAUAUUUGGGUUUAGGAUUUAUUGAUUAGAGUUUAUGAUUUAGUAUUUAGGGGUUAAGGUGUGAUUAGAAUAAGGUUUAGUAUCUAGGGUUUGGGGUUGGGAUAUGUUUAGUAUUACAGAUUGUAGAUUAUGUUAUAUAAUCUAUACUAUUUCGGUUAUAUGGAAUAGAGCAUUCGGUGUAUGUGUAUGUGACUAAUAAAAGUGUAACGUGGAUGAUUCCUU
rnacentral:lncRNA from 1 species